rnacentral:rRNA from 1 species
CAUAGGUUAAUGAGGCGAACCGGGGGAACUGAAACAUCUAAGUACCCCGAGGAAAAGAAAUCAACCGAGAUUCCCCCAGUAGCGGCGAGCGAACGGGGAGGAGCCCAGAGCCUGAAUCAGCAUGUGUGUUAGUGGAAGCGUCUGGAAAGGCGCGCGAUACAGGGUGACAGCCCCGUACACAAAAGCGCAUGUGCUGUGAGCUCGAUGAGUAGGGCGGGACACGUGGUAUCCUGUCUGAAUAUGGGGGGACCAUCCUCCAAGGCUAAAUACUCCUGACUGACCGAUAGUGAACCAGUACCGUGAGGGAAAGGCGAAAAGAACCCCGGCGAGGGGAGUGAAAAAGAACCUGAAACCGUGUACGUACAAGCAGUGGGAGCCCCACCACUAAGCCAGUGGUGAACUCCACAUACGCAUCCUUUGCUGAGGAUACGGUUAACGGAGCGAAAGCGACGUUCAACCGCAAAAGAAGCAGAGGGGGCUUAGUGGUGGGGUGACUGCGUACCUUUUGUAUAAUGGGUCAGCGACUUAUAUUCUGUAGCAAGGUUAACCGAAUAGGGGAGCCGGAGGGAAACCGAGUCUUAACCGGGCGUUAAGUUGCAGGGUAUAGACCCGAAACCCGGUGAUCUAGCCAUGGGCAGGUUGAAGGUUGGGUAACACUAACUGGAGGACCGAACCGACUAAUGUUGAAAAAUUAGCGGAUGACCUGUGGCUGGGGGUGAAAGGCCAAUCAAACCGGGAGAUAGCUGGUUCUCCCCGAAAGCUAUUUAGGUAGCGCCUCGUGAAUUCAUCUCCGGGGGUAGAGCACUGUUUCGGCUAGGGGGCCAUCCCGGCUUACCAACCCGAUGCAAACUGCGAAUACCGGAGAAUGUUAUCACGGGAGACACACGGCGGGUGCUAACGUCCGUCGUGAAGAGGGAAACAACCCAGACCGCCAGCUAAGGUCCCAAAGUCAUGGUUAAGUGGGAAACGAUGUGGGAAGGCCCAGACAGCCAGGAUGUUGGCUUAGAAGCAGCCAUCAUUUAAAGAAAGCGUAAUAGCUCACUGGUCGAGUCGGCCUGCGCGGAAGAUGUAACGGGGCUAAACCAUGCACCGAAGCUGCGGCAGCGACGCUGAUGCGUUGUUGGGUAGGGGAGCGUUCUGUAAGCCUGUGAAGGUGGCCUGUGAGGGUUGCUGGAGGUAUCAGAAGUGCGAAUGCUGACAUAAGUAACGAUAAAGCGGGUGAAAAGCCCGCUCGCCGGAAGACCAAGGGUUCCUGUCCAACGUUAAUCGGGGCAGGGUGAGUCGACCCCUAAGGCGAGGCCGAAAGGCGUAGUCGAUGGGAAACGGGUUAAUAUUCCCGUACUUGGUGUUACUGCGAAGGGGGGACGGAGAAGGCUAUGUUGGCCGGGCGACGGUUGUCCCGGUUUAAGCGUGUAGGUGUGUGUUCCAGGUAAAUCCGGUUCACUUUAACACUGAGGCGUGAUGACGAGGCACUACGGUGCUGAAGCAACAAAUGCCCUGCUUCCAGGAAAAGCCUCUAAGCAUCAGGUAACAUCAAAUCGUACCCCAAACCGACACAGGUGGUCAGGUAGAGAAUACCAAGGCGCUUGAGAGAACUCGGGUGAAGGAACUAGGCAAAAUGGUGCCGUAACUUCGGGAGAAGGCACGCUGACACGUAGGUGAAGUGAUUUACUCAUGGAGCUGAAGUCAGUCGAAGAUACCAGCUGGCUGCAACUGUUUAUUAAAAACACAGCACUGUGCAAACACGAAAGUGGACGUAUACGGUGUGACGCCUGCCCGGUGCCGGAAGGUUAAUUGAUGGGGUCAGCGCAAGCGAAGCUCCUGAUCGAAGCCCCGGUAAACGGCGGCCGUAACUAUAACGGUCCUAAGGUAGCGAAAUUCCUUGUCGGGUAAGUUCCGACCUGCACGAAUGGCGUAAUGAUGGCCAGGCUGUCUCCACCCGAGACUCAGUGAAAUUGAACUCGCUGUGAAGAUGCAGUGUACCCGCGGCAAGACGGAAAGACCCCGUGAACCUUUACUAUAGCUUGACACUGAACAUUGAGCCUUGAUGUGUAGGAUAGGUGGGAGGCUUUGAAGUGUGGACGCCAGUCUGCAUGGAGCCGGCCUUGAAAUACCACCCUUUAAUGUUUGAUGUUCUAACGUGGACCCGUGAUCCGGGUUGCGGACAGUGUCUGGUGGGUAGUUUGACUGGGGCGGUCUCCUCCUAAAGAGUAACGGAGGAGCACGAAGGUUGGCUAAUCCUGGUCGGACAUCAGGAGGUUAGUGCAAUGGCAUAAGCCAGCUUGACUGCGAGCGUGACGGCGCGAGCAGGUGCGAAAGCAGGUCAUAGUGAUCCGGUGGUUCUGAAUGGAAGGGCCAUCGCUCAACGGAUAAAAGGUACUCCGGGGAUAACAGGCUGAUACCGCCCAAGAGUUCAUAUCGACGGCGGUGUUUGGCACCUCGAUGUCGGCUCAUCACAUCCUGGGGCUGAAGUAGGUCCCAAGGGUAUGGCUGUUCGCCAUUUAAAGUGGUACGCGAGCUGGGUUUAGAACGUCGUGAGACAGUUCGGUCCCUAUCUGCCGUGGGCGCUGGAGAACUGAGGGGGGCUGCUCCUAGUACGAGAGGACCGGAGUGGACGCAUCACUGGUGUUCGGGUUGUCAUGCCAAUGGCACUGCCCGGUAGCUAAAUGCGGAAGAGAUAAGUGCUGAAAGCAUCUAAGCACGAAACUUGCCCCGAGAUGAGUUCUCCCUGAGACUUAGAGUCUCCUGAAGGAACGUUGAAGACGACGACGUUGAUAGGCCGGGUGUGUAAGCGCAGCGAUGCGUUGAGCUAACCGGUACUAAUGAACCGUGAGGCUUAACCUU